rnacentral:rRNA from 1 species
CCCUUAGACGUUCUGGGCCGCACGCGCGCUACACUGACCAGUGCAACAAGCAUCCGUCCUUGGCCGACAGGCUCGGGCAAUCUUUGAACGCUGGUCGUGAUGGGGAUAGACUUUUGCAAUUUUUGGUCUUCAACGAGGAAUUCCUAGUAAACGCAAGUCAUCAACUUGCAUUGAUUACGUCCCUGCCCUUUGUACACACCGCCCGUCGCACCUACCGAUUGAAUGGUCCGGUGAAGUCUCGGGACGGCGGCUUGGUCGCUUGCGUCCGACUGCUGAAACUUGAUUAAACCAUAUCAUUUAGAGGAAGGUGAAGUCGUAACA